rnacentral:rRNA from 1 species
CCGCCCCCCGAACCCCGCGGCUCGGGGCCGGUAGGGGAGGGGGGAACAACCGGUGUAGCGGUGGAAUGCGCAGAUAUCGGGUGGAACCCCGGUGGCGAAGGCGGCCCUCUGGGCCGAGACCGACGCUGAGGCGCGAAAGCUGGGGGAGCGAA